ACCGGCAACCUUCCAGUCACAGGCACAGAUCCUGAGCCACAGAGCCACCGCUCCGCCCAUCAGACGUCGCUGCCAUGGCAACAGGGUAUUGGGACCAGCUGCCGGAAGGAAGAGAAGCCGACGCGCACCAGUGAGCGCCUGGAGCGGGCGAGACGGCGCGGGCUCUCGCACUGGGACUGGCAGUGGUGGUCAGGUGAGAGGGGAACAGCACUGUGGACACGCACACGCGCACACACACACCCCUCUACGGUGGGGGGGGUUGGUGUAGAAAGAAGGAGGCCAGAUAGCAGAAAGGAACGAGGAGUAUGGUGCUGAUCUGGACAUCAUGAGGCUGGUUUGCUUCCCCUGGUCCUGGGACUCUUGAGAGGGUCAUCGACACCACGGGCUCUUCAGGGCGCCAGGGCGUUUUAACUCAAAACCUGGAGGAACCUGCCAGGAGGGUUCAACCGAGCUGGAAGUGGAUCUGUGUCCCAGGCACACUUCAAAAUCCACAGAGAAUGCAUCACAAAAUCAACCCAACAUUUUGCAAUGGGCCAGUCCGUCACCAGACUGGAACCUGUUGGAAACCUGGGGUGUGAACUGGGGAGGUCAGUCCAUGCGCACAUCCUGGAGGGUAUCGAGAGUUCGGUGUGGAGCAGAGCCUCAGUGUGUUCUCCAGGCUCAUAGGGCUUAGUGCUGCUAUCGAGACAAGGGGAGGGUACACUCAGCACUGACCACUGGGGUGCUGAUGAUAAUGGGAGUUCAGGGGAAGAAAGGUCAGCUGAACUCUCCAUCUGCUCUUGGACUCUUCCUCUGAGCUCCUGAACUCCUCUGGUGCCGAUUCGGGAUCUAGUCCUUCCUCUCCCUGUGCUGGUUCAGGGACUGCUGGCCCCUUCCCUUCCAGAGAGGAGCUGUCCCCUCCUGCUUCAUCUUCAAUCGCACCUCCCUCUGUCAGGAGACUAAAUCAGCCUCGUGAAGCUGGUGGCCUUGGAGUACAGUUGUCCAGUCUCCUCUCGCUCCCCCUCCAUUCCUUUGCUCGAGCUGGGCACGCAUGUACCCCUUCCCUGUGCCUACACACCCGUGCCAUGAAUACUCCAGUACACUCGUGCAGCGCGGACGACCAGCCCGACCUGCAACUAUGGCAACCGCACCCGUCGGUCAUCGGCACGAGCGGCAGGAACCCGAAGGUGGCGUGCCGGCUCGAGGGCAGCGGGAAGAAGGUGGGCGCGCUGAUUCGCUCCUGGUACCGGCGCGCGGGCGGGGGCGCGCUCGAGUUCCUGCUGAGCCGGCAGAGCCCCACGCGGCAGAGCUACGGCGCGGGCGUCGGCCAGCGGUUCCUGAUCGAGGAGGACGAGGGCGGGAACAGCUUCUCGCUCAUCAUCGGCAACUUCGCCGCGGCCGACCAGGGCGUCUACUACUGCGCCGUGUGGUUCAACCACAGGUACAUCUUCGGCCCGGGCACCCAGGUCAUCUACAGAGGUGAGCUCGCCGGACGCACACGGCUGUAAGGCUUUUGAAGGGUUGGAGUUACAAGACGACAAAAAGUGGAGAGCUGCGUCACCGUGCGCAGGCUGCUAGGGAACGGGUGAAGGUCUA